CUGCUGAACGUGUCCUACCGCAUCGCGCAGUACACGGACGUCAUCUCCGACCUGCGCAGGGAGAUCGAGCGCCUCAAGUCCAAAAUUGAGACGCAGGAGGAGGAGAAGAGAGGUGAACCCGGCGCCCGGAAUGCACGAGUCAUGAUCCCCCCCCAUGAUGGAGAGGAGGAUAGCCGCCUGCAGAUGAACAAGAUCCGGACACAGCUCAUCGGGGCCUUCAAGGAGCAGUUGGAGAUGCGGCGCAGCCUGGUGGAGCUGGAGAACGCCAACAUAGAGCUGCACGUUGACACGUCCCGCCACCUGCUGACCAUUGCCGAUGUUUGCUCAUGCCUUUUUGUGUUUUACGAGUAGAGAAGAGAUGAGGCAGCCGACCCGACUCUGCCCAGGCC
rnacentral:lncRNA from 1 species